rnacentral:lncRNA from 1 species
AUGCUAAGACUAAAGAAAAGCAUCUGUAUGAAAUCCUCUGCUGGUUGGGUGACUGGGACAAGCAGUGAUCAACCACAAGCAAGUCAUGGGAGAAACAACGGCCUCCUACAAGGCCCAGAGCCUUGUUGUCUUCCUGGAAAACAUCGACUGCCAGCAGAAGCUCAGGCUGCAGGCCUGGUCAGACAAACAGAAGGACCUGGAGAAGCAGCGCAGGGAGUGUUUAAGCAGCAUGGUGACCAUGUUCCCCAAGCUCCGCCUGGAGUGGAACAUUCACCUGAACAUCCCUGUGGUCAUCUCCUCAAAGCCAAAGAAAUGCAAGUCACCCUCGGCCUUACCCCGCUGGAUCCACUCCAGCAGUCCCACCUGCAAGCAGUCUUUUCCACCCAGUCAACGGGAAUGUGUGCCCCUGUGGACACCCAGUGCCUCCGUGACCGAGGAAGGAAUGCCAGGAACACACAGAGGAGCCAACUGAGCUUGUCUGCAAAAAGUUGAGCCAGUCACUCCCCGGAACCCUGCAAAGUCAGAAGGAGCUAAACAGAAACAGCUCCAGUCCCCACUCCAUCCCUCAGCUAGUGAUUCUCAAACUUCAGGAUAACUAAAAAUCACACGGGACUUGUUCCAAAUGCAGAUUCCCAGCUGGUGCUCUUAAACAAACACUGGGUGUUUCUAAAUCAUCCGAGAACUUUGAGAAACAUUUUUUCUCCUUUGGUCCCCAAACUGUACAUUUUUAAUAAAACAGAGAUUACAUCUAUUCGCUGAAACCCAUACUUCCUUAACUCAUUUUGGGAACCUAGUCCAUAACCACCUUGACAUGGAGCUGGGCACUAGAGGACCCUCCAAGCGUUGCCUCUGUUCUUGUGGAGCUUGUGUGUGUACACACCAAACACUUUUUAUAACCAGAGAUGAAUUUUGGCCUCUACUCUAACUGCCUGGCCCUCCCCUUGCUCAGGUCCAUUCAGGGAAGCCAACAAACUCAAAGAGCCAUCAUCAGUGCCUUGGCACACAGUCAGGGUAAUUCUUCAUUUAAUGAAAAACAUGGACAAAUGACUAACUGGCUACCAGUGAUUAUCAUGACAGCUCAGAAGAACAAAAGGAGAUGUCAAUCCAAGUCAGGGCCAAGUGAAAUGUGUGUGUAUCUCUGGGUCCUGGCAACAAAGGUGGAAGAAAUCAAGACAUGGAGGCUCCAAAUCCAGAUGGUUUGGGCUGAAGAAGCUGUGUCUGGCAGUUAUAUGUCAGUUCAGUGAAGACACUGCUUUGAUGAGCCCAUUUGUGGCACCGUUCGUGCCCUCCUUCCCAGUCUCUGGCACACAGCUCCCUGGCUCAUCCCUACUCAGUCUCCCCGACCCCUUCCUCUACUCACCCAGCACACCUGGCCUAGGGACCAGACAUAAGAAAUAGGAAAUGGCCCUGUCCUUAGAGAAAAUGUAUCCAGGUUCUUUCUCAGAAAUGGUGCCCAUCUUUGCUUCUGGCCUUAGGGUGGGACUCCAGAAAGAAGUAGGAAAUGAACAUCUGGUGCUAUGGAUGAUGUCAGGAGGAGGAUUUGAUUUCUUCAUAGCACAAGGAUGUCUGGCCCAGGGAGGAAGGUGAAGGCAUUCUGAUCCAGGUCACACCCAGAGGCCAGCUGUGGCAGUGAAGGGCUAUUUCCAGCUUCUCAGGUCUCAGGCUCACUCUUUUGGGGAGGUCUCAUCGCACUCAUUCAACAUAUGCUUUUACAUUAAAGGUAGUACUUUAAAUAAUUUUAAAGGAUUUUUAUAACUAUGCUUUGGAAAUUAACCAGCUAUGAGUAAGUUAUUUAAUGUGUAGUUGGCUGUGACUUCUCUGGAAUUAUUAUGCAGAGAGAUGAAAUUUAACAAGUUUUAUAAAUGUAAUGAGUAUAUUAAAUUUGACAGUGAACAGAAGUAGCAAAAUGUUUUAUAAACAUUUUAUAUAUACUUUAUUUAGUAUUUUGGCACCAAUAGUAUUUUUAAAGGUUUCAUAUAUUUUCAUAGGCUCUUGGCACUGUGCUUAAAGUGUCUAGUGGCUAACCCUGCUCUAGUGAUGAGGACUUUGACUUUCUGGGUGUCUUCUAGCAAGUUCUCUGGCAAACAAGCAAAUGUCUGACACAUUCUUCUUUUGCUUUGCCAACAAUUUCAUCUCCUUGAAGGCAAAGAAGCCCUGGGUGGGCCAACCUAUGAAGCUAAGAAGGCUGGAAAACAAGGAUAUAUGAAUAUAUAUCUCCCAGAUUAUAUCACCUACGGACAUUAUAGCCAUCUUAAUUUGUAUAAAUACAACCUGUGAUAUUGGCCCAAUGACAAAAUUUUCUAACAUUUUUCAGAAUGUAUUCCCAUUGUUAAGUAAAUAUAUAAUAUAUAAAUAUAUAUGGUGUUUUUCUAGCUGUGAGGUUUAUUGAUACUAUGGGAGGCUGACUUGAAAAAGUCAGAAACAAGUAGCUCAGUGGUUCUGCCGCCUGCCUCGCAAGUGCAAGGUCCUGAGUUCGAUGCCCGGUACCCCCCGCCCCCCAAAAAAGGAUGAGCAUAGUUUCAUGACCAAAGGUGUUCUUUUUUCAAAAAGAGGCGAUGUGCGUGGCAACAAGCAGUUGGGGACUGUGAGGUAGCUAUCUAAUACUCUGAAGAAUCUAGCCUAGUGAAAAAGGUGAAUAACACCAUGAGUAAAUGGGGGAAUUUGAGUCGAGUAGUAGUGCAUACCUGUGAUUCCGGAUACUCAGGAAGCUGAGGUAGGACUAUCGCAAGUUUAAGGAAAGAGAGAAAAAGAGGGGAGAGGGAGGAAGAAAGGAAGAAAAGAAAAGAUGAAAAUGUUAGAAAUAGGGCCAGGGAUUUAGCGCAGUGGUUCUGCUGCCUGCCUUGCAAGUGCAAGGUCCCGAGUUCGAUCCCCAGUACCAAAAAAAAGAACACACCUAAGAAUAUUACAAUGGAACUGCUGAAACCAAAGAUAAGAGAACUUCUUGAAAACAUCCAGAAAGGAAAAGAAGCUCCAUGGAAAUAAGACAUAAAGCAGCCCUUUCAUUAGAAAUUUUUCCAGCCAGCUUGUUUCUGAGGUCCAG